GGGAAGUGCGCACUCCCGGCGGCGGGCAGGCUCUCCCGCGGCGCGCUGCUCGGACGCAGGCCGGCUCGGCGGAGCAGACGGAGGCAGGAUGGCAAAACAGAAAAGAAAAGUUAGAGAAGUGACAGAGGAAAAGAACAAAAAGUUGAAGAAGGUGGCAGUAGAGGAGCUCCUGCUCGCACCUGAAACCACGUCGAAUGAAAAGGAAGCACCCCCAGAGGGACGAGAAGGUGGCGUGCUUCCCGUGCCGCCUCUGCCUGGGUGCCGAGACCCCAUGCCUUCCAGCCGGCGUUCUCCUGGGGGCCUGUAAGUGCCAGUGCAGCAGGCUCAGAGCCAUGCCAGCCCCUUCCGCCACGGCACUGGGCUCCUUCCAGGUGGCCUCCGCCUCCCGCUCUCCAGUCUUAGCCGAGCAGCAGGUGAGGCUGGGGCGGAGAUGCGCUUCUUUCCUUGAGCAGGUGGACGGGUGAUUGCAAGGAAGGUUGAAGGUGGCCUGGCUCCCCCAGCAGGCUUCCCUUCCUCCAGGCAGGGCUGCCGCUCGGGCCUCCGUCUCCGUGCACCCCUUGCAGGGGCCGUGCCGCAGUGGGCAGUUGAGAAGGGGCCCUUGCGCGAGCGCCCAGGCUCUGCUGCACCUGUGCAGGGGGCUCGGUGCAGGCCGCCCCUGCUCUGCUGCUGGGGGACGAGCUGCCGGCCCCGCUCCACGUCGAAGCGCAGUGUGCCUUUCCAGAACCCACGGGCGUUGCUGUGCUCUGCACAUAGAACUAACUGUGCUUUCUUUGCUUUUCCUUCCUUCCUUCCUGCAGUUCAGAUCCGGGAUAAUCUUCUGCCUUAACUGCACGACUUGGGGGUUUCUGUAGUGAAAACCCUUUCGCAUUUGCUGGUGGUGAAUACUUGCUUUGCUCUGUGCUUGUCUGGAAGUCUCGGCAGUUCUGCCAGCUUUGGGAUUCUCAAGCAGCACUUGUUUAUCCAGCUCGGCAUUUGUUGGGCCUCUGGAAUCCCCGACCUAGUGGCCUUCAUUGCUUCCGGAAAGUUCUCCGCCUUCACAGUCUUGCAUAACACCCCUUUCCUUCUGCCUCCUUCUAGGCCUCUGCGUGGAUGCCAGCCUGUCCUCCAGCUUCCCUCUUCUCCUUAGUGGCCACUGACCUGCCAUCCCAGUGUUUCUGUUCCACUUGGGUUAUUUCUAGACGUUUGUGGAGGCCUGCCGGCACCUGUAGAGGCUCCUGUCCUUGUAGGUACCUGCAAGCUGGUUUUUAUUUCCUUGGAGAGUGUAACUGUCUUAUAACCUGAUCUCCUGGAGUUCAGCUUUCUCGUGUCCCUGG
rnacentral:lncRNA from 1 species